GACGAACGCUGGCGGCGUGCUUAACACAUGCAAGUCGAACGGAAAGGCCCUGCUUUUGUGGGGUGCUCGAGUGGCGAACGGGUGAGUAACACGUGAGUAACCUGCCCUUGACUUUGGGAUAACUUCAGGAAACUGGGGCUAAUACCGGAUAGGAGCUCCUGCUGCAUGGUGGGGGUUGGAAAGUUUCGGCGGUUGGGGAUGGACUCGCGGCUUAUCAGCUUGUUGGUGGGGUAGUGGCUUACCAAGGCUUUGACGGGUAGCCGGCCUGAGAGGGUGACCGGCCACAUUGGGACUGAGAUACGGCCCAGACUCCUACGGGAGGCAGCAGUGGGGAAUAUUGCACAAUGGGCGGAAGCCUGAUGCAGCAGCGCCGCGUGCGGGAUGACGGCCUUCGGGUUGUAAACCGCGUUCGCCUGUGACGAAGCGUGAGUGACGGUAAUGGGUAAAGAAGCACCGGCUAACUACGUG
rnacentral:rRNA from 1 species